rnacentral:rRNA from 1 species
CGUAGGUGGCAAGCGUUGUCCGGAUUUAUUGGUUUAAAGGGUGCGUAGGCGGUCUUGUAAGUCAGUGGUGAAAUCCGGCAGCUUAACUGUCGAUGUGCCAUUGAUACUGCAGGACUUGAGUACAGACGAGGUAGGCGGAAUUGACGGUGUAGCGGUGAAAUGCUUAGAUAUCGUCAAGAACACCGAUAGCGAAGGCAGCUUACUAGACUGUAACUGACGCUGAUGCACGAAAGUGUGGGGAUCAAACAGGAUUAGAUACCCUGGUAGUCCACACUGUAAACGAUGAUUACUCGAUGUUGGCGAUACACAGCCAGCGUCUUAGCGAAAGCGAUAAGUAAUCCACCUGGGGAGUACGCCGGCAACGGUG